UGGUCUUAGCUUGCUAAGGCUGAUGGCGACCGGCGCACGGGUGAGUAACACGUAUCCAACCUGCCGUCUACUCUUGGCCAGCCUUCUGAAAGGAAGAUUAAUCCAGGAUGGGAUCAUGAGUUCACAUGUCCGCAUGAUUAAAGGUAUUUUCCGGUAGACGAUGGGGAUGCGUUCCAUUAGAUAGUAGGCGGGGUAACGGCCCACCUAGUCAACGAUGGAUAGGGGUUCUGAGAGGAAGGUCCCCACAUUGGAACUGAGACACGGUCCAAACUCC
rnacentral:rRNA from 1 species